AUACACCCUUUCAGUUAUUCGCUUUUACUAGUGUUAGAGUUGUGUCCCUUAGCCGGAUGUGACGUCAACGGGGGAUAGAAAUUCGCCAGAGAAAAUAAAAUUUUACUGUGUCGCUGAAGAAAUCAACGUCUUUAGCACAAUAUAUGCGAAUCAUCCCAAAUGCUAUGUUCAGAAACAGUGAAGUACCAUGGCUGAACCAGAUCCUGUAACAGAAAAGAAAGUACAACAGUACACGACUGUGAUUGUCAUAAGCUGUAUGCCAAGGAUGUCCCUGGCGCUGUUUUACCGCAACUUCAACCAGAAAGAUGCAAAGUUACAGAGUUGCGAAUAUGGUUGAAAUGCCGGGGACAAGCUGUGAAAUCGAAUGAGACAAAAGCCGAACUUUGCUUGAGGGUAAAGAAAUUCAGUGACAACCAGGAUAACAUCCUAAUUGUGGAUCCUUAUCCAGACCAGCCAUUUGCAGCUAAGCAGAAGUCGUCCUGUAUGAACUGUCAAGGACAAUCAACAGUGUCAACAGCGGAAGAACAUCUUAAUUUGGAAGAAUGCACAUGGACCCAAAGCACCAGACCGAUCUUCAAAGACUUUUCGUACAUGAACAUUCUGGAAUGGACCAAAAGUUCUGGUAAAGGUUCAAAACUGGGUGUUGAAAAGCCUAUUCAACGAGGCUAUGUGUUUUUUCAUGACGGUUAUGUAUUCGACACAUGGACAUCUGAACGUAACAGUUCAACAAUUGUUAGAUGCAAGUGUUUCCGCUCCAUGAAAAACCGGUAAUCAGAAAUAAAGAGUAUUGAAAUAAUCUAAAUUAUAUUUGAAAGUAUUCAAUUUUGUGUUAUUUUAGUGUCAGUAUUUGUGAGAUUCACCUCAAAUCACAUUUAUUUAUUCAAUAUAAUCAUAGGAUCUCAGCUUAUUUUGGUGCAAUACCUGUAUCUGAAUGUUUGUAAUUUUCAGAUUGUGUUUCCUUAAAUUAGUUUAUGAUUUCUAGCUUUCACAUGUUGUCUUUCAUCAUUAAUCUUACAAUUAAUGAUACUUCAUACUGUUUUGUGAUGAACUAUGCUACUCAAAUGUGCUUAUCUUGCAUUAUUUCUGUUGUAAUAAAGCUUAUAUCAUUGA